UCCAACUUCACGUAGUCGAGUUGCAGACUACGAUCCGGACUACGAUACACUUUCUGGGAUUAGCUCCCCCUCGCGGGUUGACGGCCCUCUGUAUGUACCAUUGUAUGACGUGUGAAGCCCUACCCAUAAGGGCCAUGAGGACUUGACGUCAUCCCCACCUUCCUCCGGUUUGUCACCGGCAGUCUCAUUAGAGUGCUCAACUAAAUGUAGCAACUAAUGACAAGGGUUGCGCUCGUUGCGGGACUUAACCCAACAUCUCACGACACGAGCUGACGACAGCCAUGCAGCACCUGUGUUACGGUUCUCUUUCGAGCACAUCUCGAUCUCUCGUGACUUCCGUACAUGUCAAGGGUAGGUAAGGUUUUUCGCGUUGCAUCGAAUUAAUCCACAUCAUCCACCGCUUGUGCGGGUCCCCGUCAAUUCCUUUGAGUUUUAAUCUUGCGACCGUACUCCCCAGGCGGUCUACUUCACGCGUUAGCUGCGUUACCAAGUUAAUUAAAACCCGACAACUAGUAGACAUCGUUUAGGGCG
rnacentral:rRNA from 1 species